CGUUAGAUUAGAUAGUUGGUGGGGUAAUGGCCUACCCAAGUUCUACGAUCUAUAGCUGGUUUUAGAGGAUGAUCAGCAACACUGGGACUGAGACCACGGCCCAGACUCCUACGGGAGGCAGCAGUGGGGAAUCUUAGACAAUGGGCGCAAGCCUGAUCUAGCCAUGCCGCGUGAGUGAUGAAGGCCCUAGGGUCGUAAAGCUCUUUCGCCAGGGAUGAUAAUGACAGUACCUGGUAAAGAAACCCCGGCUAACUCCGUGCCAGCAGCCGCGGUAAUACGGAGGGGGUUAGCGUUGUUCGGAAUUACUGGGCGUAAAGCGCGCGUAGGCGGAUUGGAAAGUUGGGGGUGAAAUCCCGGGGCUCAACCCCGGAACUGCCUCCAAAACUCCCAGUCUAGAGUUCGAGAGAGGUGAGUGGAACUCCGAGUGUAGAGGUGAAAUUCGUAGAUAUUCGGAAGAACACCAGUGGCGGAGGCGGCUCACUGGCNUGAUACUGACGCUGAGGUGCGAAAGUGUGGGGAGCAAACAGGAUUAGAUACCCUGGUAGUCCACACCGUAAACGAUGAAUGCCAGUCGUCGGGCAGUAUACUGUUCGGUGACACACCUAACGGAUUAAGCAUU
rnacentral:rRNA from 1 species